GACGAACGCUGGCGGCGUGCUUAACACAUGCAAGUCGAACGGAAAGGCCCUGCUUUUGUGGGGUUCUCGAGUGGCGAACGGGUGAGUAACACGUGAGUAACCUGCCCUUGACUUUGGGAUAACUUCAGGAAACUGGGGCUAAUACCGGAUAUGAUCUCCUGCUGCAUGGUGGGGGUUGGAAAGUUUCGGCGGUUGUGGAUGGACUCGCGGCUUAUCAGCUUGUUGGUGGGGUAGUGGCUUACCAAGGCUUUGACGGGUAGCCGGCCUGAGAGGGGGACCGGCCACAUUGGGACUGAGAGACGGCGCAGAAGCCUACGGGAGGCAGCAGGGGGGAAUAUUGCACAAUGGGCGGAAGCCUGAUGCAGAAACGCCGCGUGCGGGAUGACGGCCUUCGGGUUGUAAACCGCUUUCGCCGGUGACGAAGAGUGAGUGACGGUAAUGGGUAAAGAAGCACCGGCUAACUACGUG
rnacentral:rRNA from 1 species